ACCAGGAUGGCCGAGUGGUUAAGGCGUUGGACUUAAGUUCUAAUGAGUGAAUGCUCUCGUGGGUUCGAACCCCACUCCUGGUA